rnacentral:rRNA from 1 species
GGCCAUGUUGGUUAACAGAUCCUCAUCUGCUGGACGUCUGGCGAUGAUCUUUAUCGGUUGUCGUCAGUUGCCAGCACGUUUACUUUGAGAAAAUUAGAGUGCUAAAAGCAGGCUCACGCCUAUAUAUAUUGCAUGGAAUAAUGAAAUAAGAUCUCGAUUUUAUUUCGUUGGUUUUAGAAAUUGAGAUAAUGAUUAAUAGGAUCAGAGGGGGGCGUACGUACUGUGGUGUGAGAGGUGAAAUUCUUGAUCGCCACAGGACGAACAGCAGCGAAGGCGUUCGCCAAGAAUGUUUUCAUUAAUCAAGAACGAAAGUUUGAGGUUCGAAGACGAUUAGAUACCGUCCUAGUUCAAACCAUAAACGUUGCCAACUGUCUUUUAGAUGCGGUUAUUUAUAUGACUCAUCUGGCGGAUCUCGAGAAAUCUAAGUUUUUAGGUUCCGGGGGAAGUAUGGUUGCAAAGCUGAAACUUAAAAGAAUUGACGGAAGGACACACAAGAAGUGGAGCCUGUGGCCUAAUUUGACUCAACACGGGAAACCUUACUCGGCCAGGACACUUUUAGGAUUGACAGAUUGAGAGCUCUUUCUUGAUUAGGUGGGUGGUGGUGCAUGGUCGUUCGUAGUUCGUGGAGCGAUUUGUCUGAUUAAUUUCGAUAACGAACGAGACUCCGGCUUACUAAAUAGUCUAAAGUUCGAAGGGACUUUUCAAGACUUCUUAGCAGGAUAAGUGG